UGGAACGUCACUGUAGAAAUUAGUUUGGCCACGCCUCUUACAAUACAGUUUUUGCAUACUGUCAAAACCACAUGGGGAGUGUCAACACAGGAAAAGUUGGGUUCUGUGUGAAAUACAUUUAUGGAAUUGAUAAAAUGAUCCAACUUGAGAAUUUGCUGUUUUUGAUAGGAAAUUCAUAUUGUUAGGCGUGUGUAUGCCUAUAUAUCAUUUUUGCGGUGCAUAUCUCGUGGCCUAAAUGUAGAAAUAUAUAUAUAUAUACAAUUAAAACAAAAAAAUAAGACAAUGACAAUAUGUUGAAGGCUAUUUAUCUGUGCCAUCAUUGCCUAGAAACCUUAGCCCUUGCCCUAAAAGGGUUGGUUUCCCAGACACAGCUGCCUAGUAGUAUUUUUCAAAAUUACACUUAUUAACUGAGAAUCUCCAAUGAAAGUGUUGUUUUUUUUGGCCAGGACUAUGAUUAAUCGGGAAAUUGUCACUGAAUGUUUGUGAUUAUAGAUGAAGAUGAGCACCAGCUACCGAUUUUUUUUGUGGUUAAUGUAUCCCACAAAUAGGGUUGCGUGUCUCCCCUCAAAGAUGGAGAGGAGAAAAGAGCGCACAAAAAAAACAUAUCGAACAGAUUGGUUUUUAGAUGCAUGAACAACUGAAAAAUAUAUUUAACAUUCCACAGUGCAUAGGACACUUCAUGCCCCAUCAAUGAUAGGCCUAUGUGCCAUGGGUAGCCUAAAUCCAUAUUGAGUUGUCAGAAAACGUUUAGGCUAUUCCCUAAAUCCAAUUUAAACAUUGCUCUCUAGGCCUAUUAAAGGGACGUGUUGCAGUGUUACGACAAUCAUUUCGUUUGUCUCCUAGGCUAUAAUUUUAAUGGACAUGUGUCCCCCAAUUGGGUUUGUAACAUAAAGCACCAGCUUUAACAAAUUGUGCACCUGCUGAUACAUUCGAGUUUGGUGUUUGCUUCAGGGAAUACUCAAACAAGACGGCUUGUGUUGAGAAGUAGAAAUAAAAGCUACUUAACAGAAACAAUGAGCACUGGAAUACCUUGUAGUGGAAGUAAAAUAAGUCUAAUAUCUAAAGCCUGGAUUCGUUAUUAGGGCAUUUUGUAUUCACUCGACAAGGAUAACUCGACGGUGGCUUUGGCAAAGGAGGUCCAUUGGCAGCACCUCUGCCACAUACCUAUCCCAGGCCCCCUAUAGUCCCUACAGGAGUAUGGUGUCUUCCUAUAACCAGCUGGCUGCCAGCUCUCUACUCAGCCAGCAGUAUACUGCUGCCUUGGGUCUGGGAGCAGGACUUCACAGCCUUCCAGUGAGAAGAGGCCUGGUGGUAGAGCAGGCUGUCCAGACAGUACCAGCGGAUAAUUCUGUCCACAGAAGUGGCCAGUCUGCCGCCCAGCAGCAAAGAACGGAGUCUGGUCAACCUCCCGAACGCUCUGGCAGAGAUGAUCCUCAGUCUCAGGGGACGACUGCCUCCAGUGGUAAACUCAGACAACAGGAAUGAGGGCUUCUGGUACAGCCUGUUUAGCCGAUCCCAACAACGGAAACAUGGCUCCCUCGGGAUACAUCAUCAGAGUCGGUACAGCCACCCGGAUUCUUCAUGCUUCGCGCCGACAGAAACAAGCAUCUCUCUGACCCAGAGAAGAAGGUGGACUCUGGGGUUAGUAAGGGCCAGAACAGCGAGGGCACAGUGGACGAGGAUCCUCCAGGGGAGAAGUUCUACUACGACAAAACAAUGCUUCUUUGACAGUCUCAUCUGAGAUUUAAUUUUAGGACCACCUGGGCGGAGUAAAGGACGCUGAAUGUGGAGACGUUUGGGGUUCCGGGUCGAUUUCUGAGGGGCAGUGGAUUCUGAGGGGUCUAUCGUGGCAGGAGUGCUGGGAGUGCCAACCCCAUGCCCAAAGUGGACAGUGCAAGGGUGUGAAAAUGGAUAUGCAGUUUUUCCACCUCACUUACUGUCCUUAACGUUAGCUUUUUGUCUCGUUUUAGUUUCCUAGAUGCUUUCCAACUACAAUCACUUGGCAUCUCUUUUUGUUUGUUUUAAUCUUUUACUGUUAUUUAUGUAAGAGUUGACACUGAAGUGUCCGAAGAUUCCUUCCCUCUCUCUUGAAACACUUGUUAUUGGCCCUGUAGUAAUUAAAUCUAAAUGACCAAAUUUAAUAUUUUAUGGUUUCUUUUCUCCUUUGUGCCUUGUCAAAGUUUAAUCUUUUUUUUUUUUUUGUCUGGCUUGUAACUAUUUGCACAGUAAUCACAAUUGUGUACUUCAUUUAUUCUGACCACUAAGAAACUUUCAUUCAUGGUAAUGUAAUUUCUCUACAUAUUAGAAGAAGCAUCCAAUUCUUGAUUUUGCCCAAUGAGUGGAAGGGGGAGCCAUUAUUCUUUGUUUACUUCUUAGAGAUUGGACCAAAGCAAUGUACCUACAUUUUAUUUUCUACAUUUGGGCAUGUCUAAUGAAUGCCCAAAUGUAUACACAUUUUCCACUUGCUAACUUGGUUAUGGUUGUACAAAAGCAAAUAAUUGUAUUUCUCUUGAAAGUGAAAAUUCACAUUGACACUGUGGGAAACUUGUAUUGUUACUAAUCCAUUAAUAAACUACAU